GAUGAACGCUGGCGGCGUGCCUAACACAUGCAAGUCGAACGGAAAGGCCCUGCUCUUGUGGGGUGCUCGAGUGGCGAACGGGUGAGUAUCACGUGUGUAACCUGCCCUUGUCUUUCGGAUAACAUCAGGAAACUGGGGCUAAUAUCGGAUAGGAGAUCCCGCACCGCGGUGGGGGUUGGAAAGUCUGGGCGGUUGGGGAUGGACUCGCGGCUUAUGAGCUGGUUGGUGGGGUAGUGGCUUACCAAGUCUUUGACGGAUACCCGACCUGGGAGGGUGGCCGGGGUCAAUACGCCUAAGGUACGGCGCAGACGCGAACGUUAGGCAACGGGCGGAAGUAUUACACAGUGAGCGCGAGCGUGUGACGAAGACGUCGGGUUCGGGAAGACGUGCUUCGGGGUAAGAACAGCUUUCGCCUGUGACGAAGCGUGAGUGACGGUAAUGAAUAAAGAAGCACCGGCUAACUACGUG
rnacentral:rRNA from 1 species